rfam:Anaerolineae bacterium SG8_19 WOR_8-12_47664, whole genome shotgun sequence.
GCGCCCGUAGCUCAAUGGACAGAGUACCUGGCUUCGAACCAGGUGGUUGGGAGUUCGAAUCUCUCCGGGCGUA